GGAUCCAGACUUUGAUCAUGGCUCAGGAUGAACGCUAGCUACAGGCUUAACACAUGCAAGUCGAGGGGCAGCAUGGUCUUAGCUUGCUAAGGCCGAUGGCGACCGGCGCACGGGUGAGUAACACGUAUCCAACCUGCCGUCUACUCUUGGACAGCCUUCUGAAAGGAAGAUUAAUACAAGAUGGCAUCAUGAGUCCGCAUGUUCACAUGAUUAAAGGUAUUCCGGUAGACGAUGGGGAUGCGUUCCAUUAGAUAGUAGGCGGGGUAACGGCCCACCUAGUCUUCGAUGGAUAGGGGUUCUGAGAGGAAGGUCCCCCACAUUGGAACUGAGACACGGUCCAAACUCCUACGGGAGGCAGCAGUGAGGAAUAUUGGUCAAUGGGCGAGAGCCUGAACCAGCCAAGUAGCGUGAAGGAUGACUGCCCUAUGGGUUGUAAACUUCUUUUAUAAAGGAAUAAAGUCGGGUAUGCAUACCCGUUUGCAUGUACUUUAUGAAUAAGGAUCGGCUAACUCCGUGCCAGCAGCCGCGGUAAUACGGAGGAUCCGAGCGUUAUCCGGAUUUAUUGGGUUUAAAGGGAGCGUAGAUGGAUGUUUAAGUCAGUUGUGAAAGUUUGCGGCUCAACCGUAAAAUUGCAGUUGAUACUGGAUAUCUUGAGUGCAGUUGAGGCAGGCGGAAUUCGUGGUGUAGCGGUGAAAUGCUUAGAUAUCACGAAGAACUCCGAUUGCGAAGGCAGCCUGCUAAGCUGCAACUGACAUUGAGGCUCGAAAGUGUGGGUAUCAAACAGGAUUAGAUACCCUGGUAGUCCACACGGUAAACGAUGAAUACUCGCUGUUUGCGAUAUACAGCAAGCGGCCAAGCGAAAGCGUUAAGUAUUCCACCUGGGGAGUACGCCGGCAACGGUGCAACUCAAAGGAAUUGACGG
rnacentral:rRNA from 1 species